rnacentral:rRNA from 1 species
GAUGAACGCUGGCGGCGUGCUUAACACAUGCAAGUCGAACGAGAAAUGUAGACGGAAACCUUCGGGCGGAAGCCUUCAUUUCGAGUGGCGGACGGGUGAGUAACGCGUGGGUAACCUGCCUCAUACAGGGGGAUAACAGUUGGAAACGACUGUUAAUACCGCAUAAGACCACAGCAUCGCAUGAUGCGGGGGUAAAAACUCCGGUGGUAUGAGAUGGACCCGCGUUCGAUUAGCCAGUUGGCGGGGUAACGGCCCACCAAAGCGACGAUCGAUAGCCGAUCUGAGAGGAUGACCGGCCACAUUGGGACUGAGGCACGGCCCAAACUCCUACGGGAGGCAGCAGUGGGGAAUAUUGCACAAUGGGGGAAACCCUGAUGCAGCGACGCCGCGUGAGUGAAGAAGUACUUCGGUAUGUAAAGCUCUAUCAGCAGGGAAGAAAAUGACGGUACCUGAGGAAGAAGCCCCGGCUAACUACGUG